rfam:Oscillatoria acuminata PCC 6304, complete genome.
GUCAGGAACCCGCCGCUAAAUGCUUUGCAUUAUAGCGGGGGCAAGUAAGAAGCCCAAACGUGACCAGCCUAAGUCCCACGAGGACUACGUUACCUCUAAGUGUUAAAGUUCCUACCCUGGGAUGCGUUGCCAGUUCCAGGCUCUAGAACUCCAGCAUUAAACAGGCUUAAUCGGGUUAAACCAGUGUGUUGGAGAAAGUACCGAGGCGUAACUUAGGCGAGGCAAACGUUAC